UACGUAGGGGGCAAGCGUUGUCCGGAUUUAUUGGGCGUAAAGAGCGUGUAGGCGGCCAGGUAGGUCUGCUGUGAAAACUCGAGGCUUAACCUCGAGAUGUCGGCGGAAACCAUCUGGCUAGAGUCCGGAAGAGGAGAAUGGAAUUCCCGGUGUAGCGGUGAAAUGCGCAGAUAUCAGGAAGAACACCCGUGGCGAAGGCGGUUCUCUGGGACGGUACUGACGCUGAGACGCGAAAGCGUGGGGAGCAAACAGG
rnacentral:rRNA from 1 species